AACUUUGAGCAGUGGCAGUAUUGCAGCCAAUAAGGUUUACCUGAGGCAUGAUUAUUGCUAAUUAAAAUUUACUAGAAUUUUUC
rnacentral:snRNA from 1 species